AAAAGAAGCAGGACAGGGACCUGUUGGGUGGCAAAGCCAAAAGGGUCUUUCUCAAAAGUGGUUCUGCAGGAAGAGAAAUGUUUUAGAAAUGUGCAGUUUUAGAAAUGCACCAACAACAGUGUGUUUCAGGAAUAAAACUGAGCAGCUCUGUAAAGGGCCCAGCAAACAAUCAUGCUCCAGGAGCAGUGAAUCAAAUGCAGUUCCUCUGCUGUUCUUCUGCACUCCUCCCAUGCACACUUUAUCACACCCAAACUGCUGAUUUAAAGUCAAAGUAUGCCUGUGAAGGAUGUUAGACUAGGGCAAAAGGGAGUGAAAAGAGCAAUUGCCACACCAAAAACUGAACUCAUGAGCAAUAUACAGAGGAAAGGAGUAGUAAGAGAAUGGAGCAGGAAGAAAGGAUGAGAAGAAGCUUUGGAGAAU